rnacentral:rRNA from 1 species
GACGAACGCUGGCGGCGUGCUUAACACAUGCAAGUCGAACGGAAAGGCCCUGCUUUUGUGGGGUGCUCGAGUGGCGAACGGGUGAGUAACACGUGAGUAACCUGCCCUUGACUUUGGGAUAACGUCAGGAAACUGGGGCUAAUACCGGAUAGGAGCUCCUGCUGCAUGGUGGGGGUUGGAAAGUUUUGGCGGUUGGGGAUGGACUCGCGGCUUAUCAGCUUGUUGGUGGGGUAGUGGCUUACCAAGGCUUUGACGGGUAGCCGGCCUGAGAGGGUGACCGGCCACAUUGGGACUGAGAUACGGCCCAGACUCCUACGGGAGGCAGCAGUGGGGAAUAUUGCACAAUGGGCGGAAGCCUGAUGCAGCAACGCCGCGUGCGGGAUGACGGCCUUCGGGUUGUAAACCGCUUUCGCCUGUGACGAAGCGUGAGUGACGGUAAUGGGUAAAGAAGCACCGGCUAACUACGUG